GUGGCAUCGACUUCACUCCAACCCCUGUGAACAUACCAAUUGUUGCCUCGGCGGAUCAGCCCGCUCCCGGUAAAACGGGACGGCCCGCCAGAGGACCCCUAAACUCUGUUUCUAUAUGUAACUUCUGAGUAAAACCAUAAAUAAAUCAAAACUUUCAACAACGGAUCUCUUGGUUCUGGCAUCGAUGAAGAACGCAGCAAAAUGCGAUAAGUAAUGUGAAUUGCAGAAUUCAGUGAAUCAUCGAAUCUUUGAACGCACAUUGCGCCCGCCAGUAUUCUGGCGGGCAUGCCUGUUCGAGCGUCAUUUCAACCCUCAAGCCCAGCUUGGUGUUGGGACUCGCGAGUCAAAUCGCGUUCCCCAAAUUGAUUGGCGGUCACGUCGAGCUUCCAUAGCGUAGUAGUAAAACCCUCGUUACUGGUAAUCGUCGCGGCCACGCCGUUAAACCCCAACUUCUGAAUGUUGACCUCGGAUCAGGUAGGAAUACCCGCUGAACUUAAGCAUAUCAAUAGGCCGGAGGAAA
rnacentral:rRNA from 1 species